rnacentral:rRNA from 1 species
GACGAACGCUGGCGGCGUGCUUAACACAUGCAAGUCGAACGGCAAGGCCCUGCCUUUGUGGGGUGCUCGAGUGGCGAACGGGUGCGUAACACGUGAGUAACCUGCCCUUGACUUUGGGAUAACUUCAGGAAACUGGGGCUAAUCCAGGAUAGGAGCCCCUGUUGCAUGGUGGGGGUUGGAUAGUCUCGGCGGUUGGGGAUGGACUCGCGGCUUAUCGGCUUGUUGGUGGGGUAGUGGCUUACCAAGGAUUUGACGGGUACCCGGCCUGAGAGGGUGACCGGCCACAAUGGGACUGAGAUACGGCCCAGACGCCUACGGGAGGCAGCAGUGGGGAAUAUUGCACAAUGGGCGGAAGCCUGAUGCAGCAACGCCGCGUGCGGGAUGACGGCCUGCGGGUUGUAAACCGCUUUCGCCUGUGACGAAGCGUGAGUGACGGUAAUGGGUAAAUAAGCACCGGCUAACUACGUG